GACGAAUGCUGGCGGCGUGCUUAACACAUGCAAGUCGAACGGAAAGGCCCUGCUUGCAGGGUACUCGAGUGGCGAACGGGUGAGUAACACGUGGGUGAUCUGCCCUGCACUUCGGGAUAAGCCUGGGAAACUGGGUCUAAUACCGGAUAGGAGCCAUUUUUAGUGUGAUGGUUGGAAAGUUUUUUCGGUGUAGGAUGAGCUCGCGGCCUAUCAGCUUGUUGGUGGGGUAUGGCCUACCAAGGCGGCGACGGGUAGCCGGCCUGAGAGGGUGGACGGCCACAUUGGGACUGAGAUACGGCCCAGACUCCUACGGGAGGCAGCAGUGGGGAAUAUUGCACAAUGGGCGCAAGCCUGAUGCAGCGACGCCGCGUGGGGGAUGACGGCCUUCGGGUUGUAAACUCCUUUCGCUAGGGACGAAGCUUUUGUGACGGUACCUAGAGAAGAAGCACCGGCUAACUACGUG
rnacentral:rRNA from 1 species